AUUGAACGCUGGCGGCAUGCCUUACACAUGCAAGUCGGACGAGUGGCGAACGGGUUAGUAACAUAUCUGAACGUACCGGGUAAUGGGGGAUAACUAAUCGAAAGUUUAGCUAAUACCGCAUAGUAUUGGCUCGGCCGAUAUCUGAUUAGCUGGUUGGUGGGGUAAAGGCCUACCAAGGCGACGACCAGGAGCGGGUCUGAGAGGAUGAUCAGCCACACUGGAACUGAGACACGGCCCAGACUCCUACGGGAGGCAGCAGUGGGGAAUAUUGGACAAUGGGCGAAAGCCUGAUCCAGCCAUGCCGCGUGUCUGAAGAAGGCCUUCGGUUUGUAAAGCACUUUUGUCAGGGAAGCGUUACCUGAAGAAUAAGCACCGGCUAACUACGUGCCAGCAGCCGCGGUAAUAC
rnacentral:rRNA from 1 species